rnacentral:rRNA from 1 species
CGGCCACGAAGGUUCAUCGGGAAAUCCGCCAGCUUAACUGGCGGGCGUCCGGUGAAAACCACGUGGCUUGGGACCGGAAGGCUCGAGGGGUACGUCCGGGGUAGGAGUGAAAUCCCGUAAUCCUGGACGGACCACCGAUGGCGAAAGCACCUCGAGAAGACGGAUCCGACGGUGAGGGACGAAAGCUAGGGUCUCGAACCGGAUUAGAUACCCGGGUAGUCCUAGCUGUAAACGAUGUUCACUAGGUGUGACACAGGCUACGAGCCUGUGUUGUGCCGUAGGGAAGCCGUGAAGUGAACCGCCUGGGAA